UACGGAGGGGGCGAGCGUUGUUCGGAAUCACUGGGUGUAAAGGGUGCGUAGGCGGUGCGUUAAGUCUGAUGUGAAAGCCCUGGGCUCAACUCAGGAAUUGCAUUGGAAACUGGCGUGCUGGAGUACGGGAGAGGGAAGCGGAAUUCCUGGUGUAGCGGUGAAAUGCGUAGAUACCAGGAGGAACACCGGUGGCGAAGGCGGUUUCCUGGCCCAGUACUGACGCUGAGGCACGAAAGCGUGGGGAGCAAACGGG
rnacentral:rRNA from 1 species